rnacentral:rRNA from 1 species
AUGAAAAGCAACAGGGCUCCGGGCCCGGAUAAUAUCCCUGCUGAAUUUUACCAGCAUUGCUGGGAUAUAGUAAAAGAGGACAUUAUGAGCCUGUUCACUGCUUUUCAUGUAGGAGCGCUCGAUGUUAGUAGAUUGAAUUAUGGCAUCAUAACUUUACUGCCAAAAAUCAAUGGGGCCAACAAGAUCCAGCAGUUUAGGCCUAUUUGCUUGUUGAGAUGUCCUUACAAACUGAUUACUAAGGUGUUUGAUAACAGAGUGCCCCCCCUUGCUGACAAGAUGUUUAGUAGACAUCAUAAUGUAUUUAUUAAACACAGAAAUAUCAUGGAUGGGGUGAGGGAGUCCUAG